CCCUGGGUGCCGAUACCGCGGUGGGAAACACCCAGUUCCAUUCCGAACCUGGCCGUUAAGCCACCGUGGGCCGAUGGUAGUAAGGGGGCGACCCCUUGCGAGAGUAGGUAGUGCCCAGG
rnacentral:rRNA from 1 species